CAGCUCGCCAGUCGGUUGCAGUCUACGAGUCAGGUGUUCUGAAGAGUUCCAACAUAUGUGAUGUGUGCCCGGCUUGCAGCUUUUGUACAAGCGGUAACCGACCUCCGAUUGUUGGUUAGCGAACACCGUUUCUGAGCUCAAAAAGAAACCAUUGGAAUGUAAUGACUUGUAAUUUACUUUUCUGAAAUUUCAAUAUAUUAAAUGCAUUAGCAUGUCUUUA